rnacentral:rRNA from 1 species
UACGAAGGGGGCGAGCGUUGUUCGGAAUUACUGGGCGUAAAGCGCGCGUAGGUGGCCUCAUAAGUCCGCUGUGAAAGUCAAAGGCUCAACCUUUGAAAGCCGGUGGAUACUGUGAGGCUAGAGUACGGAAGAGGCGAGUGGAAUUCCUGGUGUAGCGGUGGAAUGCGCAGAUAUCAGGAGGAACACCAAUAGCGAAGGCAGCUCGCUGGGACGUUACUGACACUGAGGCGCGAAAGCGUGGGGAGCGAACAGG